GUGGAUCAUCUUGAUCCAAAUUUCAUUUUGUUUACGGAAAAUAUUUAUUUAUAAUUCUUAUGUAAAAUUUUGGAAAUGACCCAUAGCCUGGAAAACAUUUAUCAAGACAUGGUCAAGGAAAUGACGACUUGCCGGGUAGCGCUCCGACCAACUCAGAACCACCAGAAGUGGGUCCUAUGGGUCCGAGAUCGACUCCUGAUAAUUAUUUCACAAAGAAGUUUAUAUUUUCCAUAAUGAAGAUCCAAGCAUCAAGCAACACGUCCAUACGGUGCAAUCCAUUUUAAUUAAAGAGGUAAUGAUACGUGCUAGUGUCUAAUUAGAAGCAAAAUGCAUACAGCACAUCAACAAGUAGUACGCACGUGCACAUCACAAAGAGCAAGCAAGCAAGCUCAAAAGGAAAAACGUGUUUAGCUGGUUGAACCCAACCUCGGCAGAAAUAUCUUUUUUUAUCCAACUAGUUAUCUUCCCCAGCUCUCUUCCUCUCUCUCACUGUCACUGGUAUGCUCAGCCGAACAGAACCAACUCAUCUCUCUCUCCCUAACUACAGAGCCCGCCGCCGCCGGCUCGAUCUGCCACUUCCGGCCAUCUCCGACGACACCGCGAACACCCACGAAAUCCCCUCGACUCCCUCUACCAUAUUACCCCAUUUAUUUGAUCCGCCGCUGCCAAAAUCGUCGCCACCACUCAAUCCUAGCGCCGCCUGAUCCAGGUCCGGUGGGCUUGCCACCGGCUGCAGCGGCAACGACGUCUCCAUGCCUACAUCCUCCCCCAGCGCAGCCACACGCACGAGGCGUGCAGCCACGGGCAUCGGGUGCGUGCGGCUUCACCGGCGCUGCUCGGUCGCCAUGGCUCUACUGCUAACGGUGUGGACUAGCCACAUCCUACUGCUACUACUGUAAGGUAAAGAGAUCAAGGUGAAUAGAUGCUCAUGGACUGAUUCAAACCGAGGUGGAGAUAGAUAAGAAAUCAAGCAGGAAGGGCUAACACAACAAGGUACUUGAUUAGUACCUGGUGGCGCAUGUAACCCAAAGAUCUUCACCGCAAUGAAGGACAACAGUAUGGCAGAAGAUGAAAAGGCAAGUGGUGGGGGUACUCCAGCGUAUGUGUGUGUGAGGUAGAAUGGUCCAGUGAAAGGGAUGGCUCCUAUUUAUAGUGGGGUGAAUAGCUAUGUCGGUUUGAAGACACAUUACAUCUGGCAUGCGUGCGUGGUUUUGCUUUAUGUGAAAGAAAUGAGACAAGGGUCUAUAAAAUAUAUGGAGGUUUGGAGAAGAAUUUGUUUUGCAUGACUAAAUGCUAUUUGAUGUAAUAGCAACGCCGUUGAAAUUAUCGUUAUCUUAUUUAUUUA